rnacentral:pre_miRNA from 1 species
CAACUACUCCCUUUGUCCCAAAUUUCUUGUCUUAAAUUUGUCUAGAUACGGAUGUAUCUAAUACUAAAAUGUGACUUGAUACAUCCGUAUCUAGAAAAAUCUAAGACAAGAAUUUUGGGACGGAGGGAGUACUUU